rnacentral:rRNA from 1 species
AUGGCCACCUGCCUCUCAGACUUGAUUAGUGACCAUUCCCUAGAUUUCAUCGGGCUGCAGGAAACUAUGAAGAAAAAAAUUACUCCUAAAUGCAUUAGGAGGAUUGAUCCCUUUGGUCUGUUCCAUUGGGAAUGGAUUCCAUCUAUGGGAAAAUCUGGGGGCAUCCUGGGUGGUGUGAGACAUGAUACUUUUGAUAUCAUCUCCUGUAGCAAAGGCAAAUAUAUUCUGCAAAUGGUUAUACGUGACAAGAAGAGGAAAGUUGCCUAGGGCCUAUUGGUAGUUUACGGGUCUGCUCAUGAGGAGUACAAAGAAGAGUUCCUAGUUGAGCUUGCUGCCAUGUGUAGUAAUAUGAAU